rnacentral:rRNA from 1 species
UUGCCCUUUACUGCUCAGUAACACGUAGUCAACAUGCCCAGAGGACGUGGAUAACCUCGGGAAACUGAGGAUAAACCGCGAUAGGCCAUAAUUACUGGAAUGUGUUAUGGCCCAAAUCUAUAUGGCCUCUGGAUUGGACUGCGGCCGAUCAGGCUGUUGGUGAGGUAAUGGCCCACCAAACCUUCUACCGGUACGGGCUCUGAGAGGAGGAGCCCGGAGAUGGGCACUGAGACAAGGGCCCAGGCCCUAUGGGGCGCAGCAGGCGCGAAACCUCUGCAAUAGGCGAAAGCCUGACAGGGUUACUCUGAGUGAUUCCCGCUAAGGGAAUCUUUUGGCAUCUCUAAAAAUGGUGCAGAAUAAGGGGUGGGCAAGUCUGGUGUCAGCCGCCGCGGUAAUACCAGCACCCCGAGUGGUCGGGACGAUUAUUGGGCCUAAAGCAUCCGUAGCCGGUCUUGCAAGUCUUCCGUUAAAUCCACCCGCUUAACGGAUGGGCUGCGGGGGAUACUGCAGAGCUAGGAGGCGGGAGAGGCAAACGGUACUCAGUGGGUAGGGGUAAAAUCCAUUGAUCUACUGAAGACCACCAGUGGCGAAGGCGGUUUGCCAGAACGCGCUCGACGGUGAGGGAUGAAAGCUGGGGGAGCAAACCGGAUUAGAUACCCGGGUAGUCCCAGCUGUAAACGAUGCAGACUCGGUGAUGGGUUGGCCUCGAGCCAACCCAGUGCCGCAGGGAAGCCGUUAAGUCUGCCGCCUGGGGAGUACGGUCGCAAGACUGAAACUUAAAGGAAUUGGCGGGGGAGCAC